rnacentral:rRNA from 1 species
CAUAACUGUACCGGGGGGACCUCUAGAGAUUAGAGUUUGAUCCUGGCUCAGAUUGAACGCUGGCGGCAGGCCUAACACAUGCAAGUCGAGCGGCAGCACGGGAAGCUUGCUUCCUGGUGGCGAGCGGCGGACGGGUGAGUAAUGCAUAGAAAUCUGCCCGGUAGUGGGGGAUAACCUGGGGAAACCCAGGCUAAUACCGCAUACGUCCUACGGGAGAAAGCAGGGGCUCUUCGGACCUUGCGCUAUCGGAUGAGUCUAUGUCGGAUUAGCUUGUUGGUGAGGUAAUGGCUCACCAAGGCGACGAUCCGUAGCUGGUCUGAGAGGAUGAUCAGCCACAUCGGGACUGAGACACGGCCCGAACUCCUACGGGAGGCAGCAGUGGGGAAUAUUGGACAAUGGGCGAAAGCCUGAUCCAGCCAUGCCGCGUGUGUGAAGAAGGCCUUCGGGUUGUAAAGCACUUUCAGUGGGGAAGAAAGCCUUGGGGCUAAUACCCUCGAGGAAGGACAUCACCCACAGAAGAAGCACCGGCUAACUCCGUGCCAGCAGCCGCGGUAAUACGGAGGGUGCGAGCGUUAAUCGGAAUUACUGGGCGUAAAGCGCGCGUAGGCGGUCUGAUAAGCCGGUUGUGAAAGCCCCGGGCUCAACCUGGGAACGGCAUCCGGAACUGUCAGGCUAGAGUGCAGGAGAGGAAGGUAGAAUUCCCGGUGUAGCGGUGAAAUGCGUAGAGAUCGGGAGGAAUACCAGUGGCGAAGGCGGCCUUCUGGACUGACACUGACGCUGAGGUGCGAAAGCGUGGGUAGCGAACAGGAUUAGAUACCCUGGUAGUCCACGCCGUAAACGAUGUCGACUAGCCGUUGGGCUCCUUGAGAGCUUUGUGGCGCAGUUAACGCGAUAAGUCGACCGCCUGGGGAGUACGGCCGCAAGGUUAAAACUCAAAUGAAUUGACGGGGGCCCGCAUAAGCGGUGGAGCAUGUGGUUUAAUUCGAUGCAACGCGAAGAACCUUACCUACCCUUGACAUCGUGCGAACUUUCCAGGAGAUGGAUUGGUGCCUUCGGAGCGCACAGACAGGUGCUGCAUGGCUGUCGUCAGCUCGUGUUGUGAAUGUUGGGUUAAGUCCGUACGAGCGCACCCUUGUCCUUAUUUGCCAGCGCCGUAUGGCGGACCUAAGAAACUUUCCGUUACAAACGAGAGGGGGGACGACCGUCAGUCAUCAUGGCGUACCGGAUAGGGCUACACACGUGUCCUACAAUUGGCCCGGUACAAAGGGGUGUGCGCGAC